GACGAACCGUGCGAACGUUGUUCGGAUUCACUGGGCUUAAAGGGCGCGUAGGCGGCUUGCGAAGUCAGUGGUGAAAUCUUUCGGCUCAACCGGAAAAUGGCUGCUGAUACUGGCGGGCUGGAGGGAGGUAGGGGCAGAUGGAACUUCCGGUGGAGCGGUGAAAUGCGUAGAUAUCGCUUGGAACGCCGAAGGUGAAAACAGGCUGCUGGGGUUGUGCCGACGCUGAGACACGAAAGCCAGGGGAGCAAACGGG
rnacentral:rRNA from 1 species